UUCACUCUUUUGAAAAGAAAAACACGUCUCUUCUUCUUCCCUGUUUUCCCGUCUUCUUCAACAGCGACGCCAGAGCUUCCUAACUCCGUCGGCAUCGCUGCAUGAGCUUCAUCAUCGUAGUGACAGCUCCACCGCAUCUUCAUCCCUGCAUCCUCAUGCCAAAGGAUUGUUCUGUUCUUUAACUGCUCUCUCUUCUCUCCUCUUCUCCAAGGGGCAAUUUUCUCCGAAGCUUCAGAGGAAAAAAACAGAAGAACCAUCAUAAAAGAAACACAGAGUGUACCUUAAAAACAAAGCAGAAGGAGUCUUUUGCUGGCAUUGAAACAGUUUAUUUCAGAAACAACCACACGCACACCAAGUGUUUGUUGGUUUGAUACAAAGUAUUUAACAAGAGGGACAAGUUAGUAUGGUGCAGCCAUCAAAUUAAAGGCAGGGGCCUACUUGAGUAAGGACAUCUAUGAGCUUUUGAUGGCCUUUGAAUUGGUCUCGUUUCCCAGCUGCUAUAUAGUAUACAUGUUUCUAUUUGCUCUCAAUUGCUCAUAGAUAAAGUAUGUUUCCUCCUUAAAAAGUUUAAGAAAUUUUAAUUGGAUACUUUAUAUUUAAUUUUGUUAAAUUUCAAUCUAUAUGUAUGUCAUAAUAAUUACCGUUGAUAAGUUCUAAUUAUAUUCUUAUUGUAGAAAAGCAUAGCUUAAUUUUUGUGUUAUAUACUGAUAU